GGCACUAUAGCCAAGUGGUUACGGCGACAGAUUCGAAUUCCACGCUAUCUGUUCCUCUUUGAGGGCGCAGGUUCAAAUCCUGCUGGUGUCG